UGAAUAGUAUUUUUGCGGUAGUAAAUUCGAAUCACAUUCGAAUCUACCUUAUUAAUCAGAAAAAUGAGUAGUUUUAAAAAUGAAUUUACAAAAGAUGGAAUAUUAUAUCAAAUUAGUUUUCCUAGUUUUGAAAUAUAUGCAUAUAUAUAUAUAGUUCAUUUAUAAAAUAUAAUCUAACCUACCACCUAUUUAUCCUUUAAGGAAACCUAAAUUGUUACAGAAUUUAAUGAACAUUUAACCUAGUUUAUUAUAGAAUACACUUAGUAGGUUCAUAUGUAUGUAUAUACCUUAUUACAAUGCAUUAUUUAUUAUGCGACACGAGCUGGUAUAUAAUUAUAUGCAACUAGAUAUUUACCUAUUGCCCUCACACAAAUAUGCUAAAGAAUUACUACGAGCAACUGUACUUGAGCACAUGACGUCACAAAGGUCAAUGGAUACUACCCAACCAAAUGUACAGAUUUAGACAAACGGUAUGUUAUAUGGAAUUGGAACUUUGUAAUUUCGUCGGAUAAUACGCGAUAGCAGCGCCAGCAGACGACGGUGGCAAAAUUCUGAACUUUUUAUUUAUUAUCUCAGUGAACCAAAUCAAGCAUUCAGUACUUGAAACCAAAAAUCGAUCUAUAGUUUAGAGCAUUCACACUGGAGUUGCUACACAAAGAAACGUGAUUUACAUAAAUUUAACAAGUGAAUUACCUUUCCUGACAUCGCACAUGGAACAUUUAAAUGCCUCUGCAUUAUUUCUGUGAGCGCCGAUGUGUUGAGCGAACACGUGUGAACCAAAUAACGCGACAGUCGAUACGGAUUUCCCGCGCACAGUCGCAAACUCGCAGCGCGGACUGGGUUUUUGUACUCAUAUCUUGUUGGGAUGUGCAUCUUCGGCCGACAAAAUUGUGAUACAUUGAAUAAAAAUUUUAAUUUUCCUGCUUUUUCACGCAGUUGUCUAAGAGAGUAUAAUUUCUAAUACAAAUAUUAUAGAAAUCUGGUCAGUAUCUUUUGUACAAUUGUAGCAACUUUUUAUAAUGAACUGUUACUUUGUGUACGGUCGCUGAGAUCAAUGUAAGGAAUAAAAAAUGUGGAGACGCAAACACACUGUUAUUGACGUUUAUUGCGGGUGUAUAAAACAAUUUGCUAUUAUAAGAAUACAAUUUUAGUGUUGCCAGCCAAUAAUAAUGUUGUUAAAUUCACUUGAACGCUACAAAUAGAGUACUUACAAGUUAACAGUGUAGAAUCAAUAUAGUCAUUAAUUUUACAUUUUGUAUUAUUUUUUAAGUAGUGCAAUAAGGA